GCUACCUGGUUUUGCAGUAAUGCCUACGAGGAAAAGUAGGCAAAGCACAGAGGUUUGUAAGGUGACUAUACUACUCUGUGCAAAAGAAACAUAAUUCAUGAUCUUUAUUAAUUAUUUUCAUUGAUCACAUAUGGGAUGUAUACAUACAUAUCCAAAUUGUUCGUAGGAUGCCCGCACUAUGUGAGAGAAUUUCAUCAUUGAUAUGUUGGCGUCGAACUUUAAUGCUUACCGAAAACUACUUCAACUACUUCCUACGAAUGUAAAAGAUUAUCUUAGCUGCAUCACAGAUAAGAAUAUAAAAUAUAAAAUAGAAUAUAGUGUACAAUUGUUUGAAUAUUUAGUUGUCUUUGAUGACAAUGGUGAUCCAAUUGGUUUGAUUUAUUUCACAAUACCUUUUGGGGUGACAACGUUAUAUGCGAUGAAUGUUGUUAUUUGUUGAUAGAUUUAUAUCGUUAAGUGCCGUCACAUUGUCAUUCACUGAGAGUGGCAAAAUCACGAGGGGUCAAUGUUUGCAGUCCUAAAAAUGCAAUUUUUCAUUUUAGGUGCCCUACACAUAGGUAUUAGAUCUUUUUAACUAUGAGUCGACACAGUAAAUGAGUGUUCUGUUUUCAUACCUGCUGUUCUCUAAGAAGUUGAUAUUAUGGAUGAGAUGAAGCAUUGCUGUCAUAUUGAUUAUCUUGAUUUUAACUAUUGAAUUCGGACUUUAGAAAAUGCUAGCUGCACUAGCAGUUCUUCUAAACAAGCGGUCAGAGGCAUUAGUAAAAACAAAUUUCAUUUGAACAGGACAACAUAUCUUGGGCAUCAGGAAAUACCGGAUAUGUGUUCAUGAUUGCUUCUUAGUGAAAAAGGUAGGACAUAUCUUGGGCAUCAUGGAAUUCCUGAUAUGCAUUCAUGAAUGCUUCAUAGUGAAAAAGGCUGUUGGAGAGAUAACACUAGUCUCUGAUUUUUUGAAUAUUGCAAGUAAUUGGAAACCUCCUUUUUUUCAUUGAUUGGGAAUUCACCGUCGUGAUUUUUACAUCUAACGGUGCGCACAUUAGAGGUGGCAGAAUGUACAAUUAGUCGAGGUCUCGCGGUAUCGCAGAUUCGCAGCCACAUACCAUAUUGUCGCCUUCUUUGGACUUGCUUCUUCAUACUGCAGGGAGAUCCAUCCUCUGUGCUUUGCAGCGAGGAGACGCCAGCAGGUGAACGACAAGCUGACACAAAUACGCUUGGUGCUCAUGAUGAUUAUGGUAGUCCCUAGUGGUUGUGCAUAUUUACUAAUGAGGUCAACUUCAUUUCUUUGGAAAAAAUGAAUAAAGUCUAUAAUUGAGGUACAAUGAAUAUGCCUCAUUAUCCAUUAGGUUAAUAAAGAAUCCUCCAAGGACUCGUAUCCCAUCAAGACUAGAAGGAUGCUUGCCAUAGAAAGUAAAGAUAAAAACUUAGGUAUACCAACACUGUCAAUGAUUUCCUUCCACGUGAUGUUGGAGUACCUCACACAUUGCUACCACUUCCAGAAUACUUGGAUAGAGACUUGGAUAGAGACGGUGAGCUGUGCAAUCGUUGAAAAAAAAAGAGCCAACUGAACUGAGAAGGAUAUAAGUAGAUUUAACAAUAUCUGUGUUGAGCUAAUACAAGAGCAUUGGCUGAAGCAAAGACAGGUUGACUGGAAGAUGAGGAUGCAGACACAUUAGGUAGCAUGAUGCAUGAUGCAUGAUGCUACAGGAAAGAUAUACGAGACAUAUCAAAUUAAGAACAAAUAGAAAAACGCAAAAAACUUCUUCAAUACCAAUCAUAUACUUCAGCCGAUGCUCUUGUAUUUGCUCAAUACAAAUAUUGUAAAAUUUAUUUUUAUCCUCAGUCCAAUCGGCUCUUUUUUUGCGAUGAUCGCACAGCUCACUGUCUCUAUCCAGGCAUCAACCCCUGUCAUCCCCGACCCUGAUUCGGAAUGGCGUUCCGGGGUCACAUAUCGAGACCUCGACCCCGAAUUAUGUGAAUAUGGACCUGGGAAAAGCUUCAGCUGGCUGCUAGAGUGAUCAUUGCGUUCAAGAACCUAUAGGACAUUAUUGUGCGGUCUGCUAGGCCUUAUGGCCAGAGGGCUGUCCUCAAGUUUGCACAGUACACUGGCGCUCGUGGCAUUGCUGGCAGGCACACUCCUGGUACAUUCACUAACUAGCUGCAAACUUCAUUCAGUGAGCCACGUCUUCUCAUUCUGACUGAUCCAAGGACUGAUCAUCAGGUACUUUUCUUUUGAUUGCAAGCAUUUGUACAAUGGGUUCUUGGAAAUGAGCCACCUUGUAUUUAAUGGUUUGAUUCGCGUGCACACCAAGGAGUCUGCUAUUGGAAACAUCCCCACUAUUGUCUUAUGUGACACUGAUUCUUCGAUGUGCUAUGUUGAUCUCGGCAUUCCUGGAGACAACAAGGGAAAGCAGAGCAUUGGUUGCCUGUUCUGGUUGAUUGCAAGAAUGGUUCUGCGGAUGCGGGGCACAAUUCUCCCUGGACCCAAGUGGGAAAGUCAUGAUUGACCUUUUCCUCUAGGAAUCCAGAAGAAACAAAGGAGCUGGAGGAAGAGGAGGCUCUUUUUGCUCCUGACUACACUGCAGUUGCUGAUUAUGGUGCUCCCGCAGCUGAUAACUGGGGAACUGAAUAAUAUGGUGCUGGAGAGGCUCCAGCUGCUGCCUUCCCUGCUGCCCCUGCUGGUGCUGAGUAGGGUGCCGCUACAACUCCUGCGGGUGCUGAUGGGUGGGAUCCGGCUGCUGUUGUCCCUCCUCCGGCUGCUGUUCCAGCUGCCACUGGUUGGGAAGAAGGCAGUGCCCCAGCCCCCACUGGCUGGCAGUGAGUAGUCUGCGCAUGGAAAAUCAUUUGUCAACAACAGGAGGGAAGCCGAGUCGCUUGACUUUAUAUAAGUUUCUGUCGGUAGAUCUGUUUUGAAUAGCUUUCUAUCUAUUUUGCAUCGUUGUGUAAUGUUUAAUGCGAGCCAGUUUUGGAGGUAGACAUAUAUAGCUGGCCACCGCCAGGUAACUCUUUGUUGCUACCUUUCCUGAUAGCGUUGCUGCAAGCGCAUUUUGAUAAUAUAUGCACUGUAGCAUUAUGGCAUA